UACGGGGGGGGCAAGCGUUGUUCGGAAUUACUGGGCGUAAAGGGAGCGUAGGCGGACUUUUAAGUGAGAUGUGAAAUCCCCGGGCUCAACCUGGGUGCUGCAUUUCAAACUGGAAGUCUAGAGUGCAGGAGAGGAGAAUGGAAUUCCUAGUGUAGCGGUGAAAUGCGUAGAGAUUAGGAAGAACACCAGUGGCGAAGGCGAUUCUCUGGACUGUAACUGACGCUGAGGCUCGAAAGCGUGGGGAGCAAACAGG
rnacentral:rRNA from 1 species